CAUAGAUAUAGUUUAUUAGCUUUUCUCAGUAGUUUUAAAUACACGCCCUGUCUUCGACCCAAAAAUAUAAAGUGUCCCAAAAUAUGUAAACAAACGCCACACUAUCGUACGAUGUGACGUAUUUAUCUAUUACUUCCGGUUUCCUAUUUCCGGACACACUCCCCCCAUAUAUGUUCCUCUAAGGAGAUAUAUGUCAACCUAUAGUCCUUUAUGACGUUCGAACAAAACAAGAAUGUUACUUAAAUGUAGUAGUAUAACGUCCUUAUUCUAACUUUAGAGUUUUUGCAAGUCAAUCAUUGUCCUCUUCGUUAAGAUUGUUUUGAAUUCUUAACCUUGCUGCAGCAGCUGCAUCUCUUCGAGGUCUUGGCAUGAACUCUGGAGCUGUAGGGUUAAGUUCUACAGGCAGCGAACGGUCGCAUGAUAAUUCUAAAGGGCUGAGGUGUUGGGUCGCUCGCUCGAGAAUUCCGUUGCUUGUUUUGACUUUAGCUGCUCGUGUUAUCCCGUCUCUCCCUUGGAUGAGUUCCUCCACAACGCCAAGUUUCCAGUGAUUACGGUUCUUUGCAUCACCUUUGAUAAUGAUGACAUCGCCAAUCUUCGGAUGCAAGGUCUGUUCGCCUCCGGCUCGUCUGUGCUGCUCUCGAAGUG